rnacentral:misc_RNA from 1 species
GCAAACUUGGUCAUUUAGAGGAAGUAAAAGUCGUAACAAGGUUUCCGUAGGUGAACCUGCGGAAGGAUCAUUGCCGAACGGACGCGCGUCGCGUCGCCCUCCUCGCUUCCGCGAGUGGCGGCCGGCCGCGUCUUAUCGCACACCCGUGUGAACUCGUGAUCGUGACCCUGGACGACGACGACGUUUCGCCGCCGUCGAUCCGGCUCCUUUCCACAAAAUUUACAAACUCCGUACACUCUUGACUGAGACAAAACCACGAGAGCCACCCGCAGACGAUGCGGCGUGCGCGCUCGGACAAGACAUAACCUAUCACAACUUUUAACAACGGAUAUCUUGGCUCGCGCAUCGAUGAAGAACGCAGC